ACCAGAACAACACAUUUCCCUUCGCUUUUAUAGCUUCCUGAGCGGCUGGGAGAACCCGGCUCCCUUGUGCGGUUGGUCACACCAGCCUAAGGAGGAGCUGGAUACUAUCCUGACAUCUAGACUGAGCUGCUCAAGGAAGAACACACGAAAGGAGCAGAAUUUGUAAACAGCAGCCCAUGUGACAGCAGGAAAAAUAUCACACUGGAAAGCCUGACUCACAGUGAGAGGAGAGAUUUUCAGGUGUGGAUGCAGCUCUGCCACCUGGGAGCUGUGUGACCUGGCUGAGUUACUUGACCGGCUCUGUGCUGCAGUUUUGUCAUCUAUCAAGCGGAGAGGAUAGAGCGCACCUGACAGGCUUGUGGUGAAAUUCACGUGAACGCUUCUUGAUUGACUGCCAAGCAUGGACUCACCCCCUCCUCCACACCAGUCGUGGAUGUUGCACCAACUGAAUGUACUUUCCAGUGUGCAACCAGAUAACUGGAAUGUGAACACAUACCCUGAACAUGCUGCCUCCGGUCUUGCGGAAAUGCCCUAGACUAUAUUAUGCCCAAAUUGUUUUCAUCCUCAAACCUGCCACAUGAGAGACACACAAUACAUGUCAUGUUUUAUGAUAAUGCUCAAAUAAA